UGAGGAAUAUUGGUCAAUGGGCGGGAGCCUGAACCAGCCAAGUCGCGUGAGGGAAGACGGUCCUAUGGAUUGUAAACCUCUUUUGUCGGGGAGCAAAGACACCUACGCGUAGGUGGAUGAGAGUACCCGAAGAAAAAGCAUCGGCUAACUCCGUGCCAGCAGCCGCGGUAAUACGGAGGAUGCGAGCGUUAUCCGGAUUUAUUGGGUUUAAAGGGUGCGUAGGCGGGAUGUUAAGUCAGCGGUAAAAUUGAGGGGCUCAACCCCUUCGAGCCGUUGAAACUGGCAUUCUUGAGUGAAUGAGAAGUAUGCGGAAUGCGUGGUGUAGCGGUGAAAUGCAUAGAUAUCACGCAGAACUCCGAUUGCGAAGGCAGCAUACCGGCGCUCAACUGACGCUGAAGCACGAAAGCGUGGGGAUCAAACAGGAUUAGAUACC
rnacentral:rRNA from 1 species